rnacentral:rRNA from 1 species
GAUCAUGGCUCAGGAUGAACGCUGGCGGCGUGCUUAACACAUGCAAGUCGAACGGACUUUACAUGAAGCCUAGCGAUUGUAAAGUUAGUGGCGGACGGGUGAGUAACGCGUGAAUAACCUGCCCUGUACCGGGGGACAACAGUUGGAAACGACUGCUAAUACCGCAUAAGCGCACGGUUCCGCAUGGACAGUGUGAAAAACUCCGGUGGUACAGGAUGGAUUCGCGUCUGAUUAGCCAGUUGGUGGGGG